ensembl:lncRNA
AUGUCAGUAUGUGGGAAGAUUUGCCUAACGCCUCCCAGAUGUUCACGCAAAGAAAGAAGGCGUACCUUUUAUCUAACGCCUGCCAGAUGUUCACGCAAAGAAAGAAGGCGUACCUUUUAUCCUUGUUAUAGUAUUGUUGUUGCUGCUGCUGCCAUGUCGUAUAGACGCUGUGUGUUUCAAUGUGAAAGUGAAACUACUUUGUUUGGCCUUCCAAAAGAGCAAGAUAUCUGCUUUGUCAUGCCAGGAGCUGAUCAGUGCUGGUCGCUGAGGAAAUACAUCAACUUUGCACUGUGGAUCGCCAAAUCGGCUUUCACCGUGGACGAAGUGGAGUCCAGCCCGGGGUCAUCACAUGUGGUUGCUGCAAGACCAAGGGUAUGGAGGUUUGGGUGCAGCUGGAGGCACGGGAGGUGUUGGAAGCCCACUAGGAACCGCUGGAGGUAAAGUUACAUUGUAUUCAGCAUUGUCACUUAAGAUUAAU